ACUGCUCAGUAACACGUGGACAACCUACCCUCAGCACGGGGAUAAACCCGGGAAACUGGGUAUAAUACCCGAUAGUUCUGGGAAGCUGGAAUGCUCCCAUGACGAAAGCUCCGGCGACUGAGGAUGGGUCUGCGGCCUAUCAGGUAGUAGUGGGUGUAAUGUACCUACUAGCCUACGACGGGUACGGGUCGUGAGAGCGAGAGCCCGGAGAUGGAUUCUGAGACACGAAUCCAGGCCCUACGGGGUGCAGCAGGCGCGAAAACUUUACAAUGCUGGCAACAGCGAUAAGGGGACCUCGAGUGCCAGGAUACAAUCUUGGCUGUCGCGAUGCCUAAAAAGCAUUGCAUAGCAAGGGCCGGGCAAGACCGGUGCCAGCCGCCGCGGUAACACCGGCGGCUCGAGUGGUAACCGCUAUUAUUGGGUCUAAAGGGUCCGUAGCCGGUUUGGUCAGUCCUCCGGGAAAUCUGACGGCUUAACCGUUAGGCUUUCGGGGGAUACUGCCAGGCUUGGAACCGGGAGAGGUAAGAGGUACUACAGGGGUAGGAGUGAAAUCUUGUAAUCCCUGUGGGACCACCUGUGGCGAAGGCGUCUUACCAGAACGGGUUCGACGGUGAGGGACGAAAGCUGGGGGCACGAACCGGACUAGAUACCCGGGUAGUCCCAGCCGUAAACGAUGCUCGCUAGGUGUCAGGCAUGGCGCGACCGUGUCUGGUGCCGCAGGGAAGCCGUGAAGCGAGCCACCUGGGAAGUACGGCCGCAAGGCUGAAACUUAAAGGAAUUGGCGGGGGAG
rnacentral:rRNA from 1 species